UCCUAGGGUCUGCAUUCAAGGGCCUUUCC
rnacentral:piRNA from 1 species